GCAAGUCGAACGAACUCUUCGGAGUUAGUGGCGGACGGGUGAGUAACGCGUGGGAAUAUGCCCUUUGGUACGGAACAACAGUUGGAAACGACUGCUAAUACCGUAUGUGCCCUACGGGGGAAAGAUUUAUCGCCAAAGGAUUAGCCCGCGUUGGAUUAGGUAGUUGGUGAGGUAACGGCUCACCAAGCCGACGAUCCAUAGCUGGUUUGAGAGGAUGACC
rnacentral:rRNA from 1 species